rnacentral:rRNA from 1 species
UUAAGCGACUAAGCGUACACGGUGGAUGCCCUGGCAGUCAGAGGCGAUGAAGGACGUGCUAAUCUGCGAAAAGCGCCGGCGAGGUGAUAUGAACCUUUGACCCGGCGAUGUCCGAAUGGGGAAACCCAGUGUGAUUCGUCACACUAUCGUUAACUGAAUACAUAGGUUAACGAGGCGAACCGGGGGAACUGAAACAUCUAAGUACCCCGAGGAAAAGAAAUCAACCGAGAUUCCCCCAGUAGCGGCGAGCGAACGGGGAGCAGCCCAGAGUCUGAAUCAGCUUGUGUGUUAGUGGAAGCGUCUGGAAAGUCGCACGGUACAGGGUGACAGUCCCGUACACGAAAAUGCACAGGUUGUGAACUCGAAGAGUAGGGCGGGACACGUGGUAUCCUGUCUGAAUAUGGGGGGACCAUCCUCCAAGGCUAAAUACUCCUGACUGACCGAUAGUGAACCAGUACCGUGAGGGAAAGGCGAAAAGAACCCCGGCGAGGGGAGUGAAAAAGAACCUGAAACCGUGUACGUACAAGCAGUGGGAGCACCUUCGUGGUGUGACUGCGUACCUUUUGUAUAAUGGGUCAGCGACUUAUAUUCUGUAGCAAGGUUAACCGUAUAGGGGAGCCGAAGGGAAACCGAGUCUUAACUGGGCGUUAAGUUGCAGGGUAUAGACCCGAAACCCGGUGAUCUAGCCAUGGGCAGGUUGAAGGUUGGGUAACACUAACUGGAGGACCGAACCGACUAAUGUUGAAAAAUUAGCGGAUGACUUGUGGCUGGGGGUGAAAGGCCAAUCAAACCGGGAGAUAGCUGGUUCUCCCCGAAAGCUAUUUAGGUAGCGCCUCGUGAAUUCAUCUUCGGGGGUAGAGCACUGUUUCGGCUAGGGGGCCAUCCCGGCUUACCAACCCGAUGCAAACUACGAAUACCGAAGAAUGUUAUCACGGGAGACACACGGCGGGUGCUAACGUCCGUCGUGAAGAGGGAAACAACCCAGACCGCCAGCUAAGGUCCCAAAGUCAUGGUUAAGUGGGAAACGAUGUGGGAAGGCACAGACAGCCAGGAUGUUGGCUUAGAAGCAGCCAUCAUUUAAAGAAAGCGUAAUAGCUCACUGGUCGAGUCGGCCUGCGCGGAAGAUGUAACGGGGCUAAACCAUGCACCGAAGCUGCGGCAGCGACACUAUGUGUUGUUGGGUAGGGGAGCGUUCUGUAAGCCGUUGAAGGUGUGCUGUGAGGCAUGCUGGAGGUAUCAGAAGUGCGAAUGCUGACAUAAGUAACGAUAAAGCGGGUGAAAAGCCCGCUCGCCGGAAGACCAAGGGUUCCUGUCCAACGUUAAUCGGGGCAGGGUGAGUCGACCCCUAAGGCGAGGCCGAAAGGCGUAGUCGAUGGGAAACAGGUUAAUAUUCCUGUACUUGGUGUUACUGCGAAGGGGGGACGGAGAAGGCUAUGUUAGCCGGGCGACGGUUGUCCCGGUUUAAGCAUGUAGGCGGAACGAUUAGGUAAAUCCGGUCGUUUUUUAACGCUGAGGUGUGAUGACGAGGCACUACGGUGCUGAAGUAACAAAUGCCCUGCUUCCAGGAAAAGCCUCUAAGCAUCAGGUAACAUCAAAUCGUACCCCAAACCGACACAGGUGGUCAGGUAGAGAAUACCAAGGCGCUUGAGAGAACUCGGGUGAAGGAACUAGGCAAAAUGGUGCCGUAACUUCGGGAGAAGGCACGCUGAUAUGUAGGUGAAGCCCCUGCGGGUGGAGCUGAAAUCAGUCGAAGAUACCAGCUGGCUGCAACUGUUUAUUAAAAACACAGCACUGUGCAAACACGAAAGUGGACGUAUACGGUGUGACGCCUGCCCGGUGCCGGAAGGUUAAUUGAUGGGGUUAGCGGCAACGCGAAGCUCUUGAUCGAAGCCCCGGUAAACGGCGGCCGUAACUAUAACGGUCCUAAGGUAGCGAAAUUCCUUGUCGGGUAAGUUCCGACCUGCACGAAUGGCGUAAUGAUGGCCAGGCUGUCUCCACCCGAGACUCAGUGAAAUUGAACUCGCUGUGAAGAUGCAGUGUACCCGCGGCAAGACGGAAAGACCCCGUGAACCUUUACUAUAGCUUGACACUGAACACUGGUCCUUGAUGUGUAGGAUAGGUGGGAGGCUUUGAAGUGUGGACGCCAGUCUGCAUGGAGCCGUCCUUGAAAUACCACCCUUUAAUGGCUGGUGUUCUAACGUAGACCCGUAAUCCGGGUUGCGGACAGUGUCUGGUGGGUAGUUUGACUGGGGCGGUCUCCUCCCAAAGAGUAACGGAGGAGCACGAAGGUUAGCUAAUCCUGGUCGGACAUCAGGAGGUUAGUGCAAUGGCAUAAGCUAGCUUGACUGCGAGAGUGACGGCUCGAGCAGGUGCGAAAGCAGGUCAUAGUGAUCCGGUGGUUCUGAAUGGAAGGGCCAUCGCUCAACGGAUAAAAGGUACUCCGGGGAUAACAGGCUGAUACCGCCCAAGAGUUCAUAUCGACGGCGGUGUUUGGCACCUCGAUGUCGGCUCAUCACAUCCUGGGGCUGAAGUAGGUCCCAAGGGUAUGGCUGUUCGCCAUUUAAAGUGGUACGCGAGCUGGGUUUAGAACGUCGUGAGACAGUUCGGUCCCUAUCUGCCGUGGGCGCUGGAGAAUUGAGGGGGGCUGCUCCUAGUACGAGAGGACCGGAGUGGACGCAUCACUGGUGUUCGGGUUGUCAUGCCAAUGGCACUGCCCGGUAGCUAAAUGCGGAAAAGAUAAGUGCUGAAAGCAUCUAAGCACGAAACUUGCCCCGAGAUGAGUUCUCCCUGAGACUUUAAGUCUCCUGAAGGAACGUUGAAGACGACGACGUUGAUAGGUCGGGUGUGUAAGCGCAGCGAUGCGUUGAGCUAACCGAUACUAAUGAACCGUGAGGCUUAACCUU